GUCCCCGUCGUCUAGCCUGGCCCAGGACAUCGGCCUUUCACGCCGGUAACAGGGGUUCGAAUCCCCUCGGGGACG
rnacentral:tRNA from 1 species